GAUGAACGCUGGCGGCGUGCCUAAUACAUGCAAGUCGAGCGAAGCGGGGACGGGUGAGUAACACGUGGAUAACCUCCUCUAAGACUGGGAUAACUUCGGGAAACCGGAGCUAAACCGGAUACUUAUCGUUUGAUCCGCGCUGCAUUAGCUAUUUGGUAAGGUAACGGCUUACAAAGGCAACGAUUCAUAGCCGACCUGAUAGGGUGAUCGGCCACACUGGAACUGAGACACGGUCCAGAUUCCGAGGGGAGGCAGCAGUAGGGAAUCUUCCGAAAGGGGCGAAAGCCUGACGGAGCAACGCCGCGUGAGUGAUGAAGGUCUUCGGAUCGUAAAACUCUGUAAUUAGGGAAGCGGUACCGAAUCAGAAAGCCACGGCUAACUACGUGCCAGCAGCCGCGGUAAUUC
rnacentral:rRNA from 1 species